AAAAUUCUAUACUUAGGGUUCGUUUGGUAGCUCGUAUAAACUCAUAUUACUCCAAAAAAGGCCCAAAGAGUGGUCAAUAUCUCACCUUCUCCAGCAUUUGGUAGCAACCGAUUUUAUCAGCGAACCCGGUACAACAGUUUCGGAUCUCAGUGAAUUGCGUAAUAAAAUCGGCGAAUCCGGCAUAUCACUAUCGGGGUAAGGUUGUGGUAUAACAUAUUCUCCAAUUCGCCGAUUCGUGUUCUCCAGAUUUAUGCCCAAAUUGCCCUUCUAUUUGCAAUCCUCGUCUAAACAGCACAAUACCUAACAUUCACAAUACGCUCAGUCGCGGUGAGAUUCAGGUUUCUGACCUCCACAGGUAAGUUAUCUGAAGCUGCACCUGGCCGUGAAGCAGUAUGAAUAUGGAUUCAGGGUGUUCAUGUUGGCGUUCUGCAUCGUGCUGGUUUCUGAUUCAUCGGAGUUUCUUCAGACUACUGUUUCGAGACUGGUGUUGAUCGCAGUUGGCGCUGGUGUCUGCUUAGUCAUGAAUGUCUGCAUUUUCCCCAUUUGGUCCGGUGAGGAUUUGCACAAGCUGAUCGUGAAGAACUUUAAAGGGGUCGCCACGUCUUUGGAAGGUGAAGAUCGAAGUAGCUUCACUUGGACGAUACUCUUCAAAGUGGAUUUGUGGUGGAAGGAAUGCAAGGAGAAGGUGCUUACAUGGUGGUAAGGUGGAGAAGAUGGCGCGAAAGUGGAGAGGAAUCCGCGCCACUCUGCAAAUGUAGCAGGGACGACGAGGGUGUAUGAGUAAUUUCCUUAAAAAAUUAGGGACAUAAAAGUCUUCGCAAUAUUUUUUCUAUUUUGUCUGCGCAAUGUCUAUUUCUACCAAACGAAGGAUUAAGUGAGAAAAGAAAGUCAACCAAAUUCUACCAAA